rnacentral:lncRNA from 13 species
GUGAGCGCGCCCCGCAGCACGCGCGCGAUCCCGCCCCCCGGCCCCGCUCCGGGCUCGCCCACCCUCCUCCUGCCCUGGCCCACUGGGGGCACCUCCCGGCUCACCCUGCACCCCGCGCAGACCCCGUCCCCUCCCGUCUCUGCCCCACCCCCCGCUUCGCCUCCCCGACCGGCCGUCGGGCGGAACCGGGUGCCCACAGCAGCGCAGCACCCUGGCCCAGGGCCUGCGGGUUAACGCUUAACUACGCCCCGGAGCUGUAGGCUCCAGCCGCGCCCCGAGUCCCCAACCUUUGGCCCCGGUAGCGCUAAAGAGGAGCGAACGGUGAAGGAGUGAGGGUGAGUCCCAGAGGCCCACCUCGCCGCGCCCGGACUCUCCUCCCGAGCCUGGCCAGACUGGGCGUGUGUCCGAACGCUCCACUCGGACCCCUGGCGCUCCGGGCUGAGCUGGGGGCGAGGGUGAUGGGCAGCGACGCCGUCUCACCUGGACGCCCACAGUGGGUCCGACCUGGCCGAGGGGCGAGGGUGGGGCUGCGAACUCCGGAGGCUCUCGGGGUUCCUGGGGACAAUGUAGAGUUGCUGCUGGCUGAGAUGUGUUUUGAUGAGGGUUUGAAAGAGAGAGCUCCGGGUGCCAACGUGAGUGGAUGGCAGAAUAUGCCUGGGGGUGGCAAUCAGGCAUCGACCAGAGGCCCUGGGCUGGGGGAGGCAGAAGCAGAGAAGAGAGAAGGAAAUUUGGGGGAAAGAGUGGGCAUGAACUGGCUGCCCACUUGGGUGGGUGAGUGUGUGGCAGGGAGGCGCUGGGCGUUCUGUGCCUGCCCCUCGAGCCCCACCCCACCUGCUUCCAGAUGAGCUUAGGAAUUUCCCAGGCUUCCUCCCAGCUGGAGCCAGACCUGUCCCUCUGAGGCCCCAGCCCUGCCCAUCCUUUCCUGCCCUACCCAGGUUUCUUAACCCUCGUGGCUUGGCCUGCUCCUUGUUCACACCUUGGUAAAUGAUCCUUAAUAAAAGUCAUUUUCUCCAUUUGUGCUUUUCUUUC